UGAAGGCUUGACCCUCAAAU
rnacentral:rRNA from 1 species